rnacentral:snRNA from 1 species
AUACUUACCAGGCAGGGGAGAUGCCUGUGAUCAUGCAGUUAGUUUUCCCAGAGUGAGGCUUAUUCACUGGACUCCGGAUGUACUAACCCCUGCAAUUUCCCAAAUAAGGGCAACUCGACUGCAUAAUUUGUGGUAGUGGGGGACUGCGUUUGCCCUCUCUCCUU